rnacentral:rRNA from 1 species
AUUGAACGCUGGCGGCAGGCCUAACACAUGCAAGUCGAGCGGUUGGGGUAGCUUGCUACCGAUGCAGUGGCGAACGGGUGAGUAAUACAUGGGAAUCUGCCUGGUAGUGGGGGACAACGUUUCGAAAGGAACGCUAAUACCGCAUACGCCCUACGGGGGAAAGGGGGGGAUCGGCAAGACCUCCCGCUAUCAGAUGAGCC